rnacentral:lncRNA from 1 species
GACUGUUUUAAUCUGUGACCUCCUAGCUCCUAGCACAGUGACUCUCACAUGAGAAAUGCUCAGUAAACUUCCUGAAAGAAAGAAUGGGUUUCCCCUUUCCCAGCCUCUCGUGGACCAGCGUUGCCAGCUGAAGGAAGGUUGUGAAUCUGCAUCCCAGCCCAUUAGUCCUUCUCCUGAUUCCCGUGAUGAGUUCACCAGU